rnacentral:rRNA from 1 species
GCGAGCGGCGGACGGGUGAGUAAUGCCUAGGAAUCUGCCUGGUAGUGGGGGAUAACGCUCGGAAACGGACGCUAAUACCGCAUACGUCCUACGGGAGAAAGCAGGGGACCUUCGGGCCUUGCGCUAUCAGAUGAGCCUAGGUCGGAUUAGCUAGUUGGUGAGGUAAUGGCUCACCAAGGCGACGAUCCGUAACUGGUCUGAGAGGAUGAUCAGUCACACUGGAACUGAGACACGGUCCAGACUCCUACGGGAGGCAGCAGUGGGGAAUAUUGGACAAUGGGCGAAAGCCUGAUCCAGCCAUGCCGCGUGUGUGAAGAAGGUCUUCGGAUUGUAAAGCACUUUAAGUUGGGAGGAAGGGCAUUAACCUAAUACGUUGGUGUCUUGACGUUACCGACAGAAUAAGCACCGGCUAACUCUGUGCCAGCAGCCGCGGUAAUACAGAGGGUGCAAGCGUUAAUCGGAAUUACUGGGCGUAAAGCGCGCGUAGGUGGUUUGUUAAGUUGGAUGUGAAAUCCCCGGGCUCAACCUGGGAACUGCAUUCAAAACUGACAAGCUAGAGUAUGGUAGAGGGUGGUGGAAUUUCCUGUGUAGCGGUGAAAUGCGUAGAUAUAGGAAGGAACACCAGUGGCGAAGGCGACCACCUGGACUGAUACUGACACUGA